rnacentral:rRNA from 1 species
CCCUUAGAUGUCCUGGGCCGCACGCGCGCUACACUGAUGCAUGCAACGAGUCGUUUCAAGCCUGGGCCGAGAGGCCCGGGUAAUCUGUUGAACGUGCAUCGUGAUAGGGAUAGAUCAUUGCAAUUAUUGAUCUUGAACGAGGAAUUCCUAGUAAGCGCGAGUCAUCAGCUCGCGUUGACUACGUCCCUGCCCUUUGUACACACCGCCCGUCGCUCCUACCGAUUGAAUGGUCCGGUGAAGUGUUCGGAUCGCGGCGACGCGAGCGGUCCGCCGCCCGCGACGUCGCGAGAAGUCCACUGAACCUUAUCAUUUAGAGGAAGGAGAAGUCGUAACA